rnacentral:rRNA from 1 species
UAGAGUUUGAUCCUGGCUCAGAUUGAACGCUGGCGGCAUGCCUUACACAUGCAAGUCGAACGGCAGCACGGGAGCAAUCCUGGUGGCGAGUGGCGAACGGGUGAGUAAUACAUCGGAACGUGCCCUGUCGUGGGGGAUAACUAGUCGAAAGAUUAGCUAAUACCGCAUACGACCUGAGGGUGAAAGCGGGGGACCGCAAGGCCUCGCGCGAUAGGAGCGGCCGAUGUCUGAUUAGCUAGUUGGUGAGGUAAGAGCUCACCAAGGCGACGAUCAGUAGCUGGUCUGAGAGGACGAUCAGCCACACUGGGACUGAGACACGGCCCAGACUCCUACGGGAGGCAGCAGUGGGGAAUUUUGGACAAUGGGGGCAACCCUGAUCCAGCAAUGCCGCGUGUGUGAAGAAGGCCUUCGGGUUGUAAAGCACUUUUGUCCGGAAAGAAAUCCCCUGGGAUAAUACNCGGGGGGAUGACGGUACCGGAAGAAUAAGCACCGGCUAACUAC